GCCUCGGUGUUGUCAUGGUAUCAGCACGCGUCCGCGGUAUGGAUAAAACGCGAGUUCGAAUCUCGCCUGAGGCC